rnacentral:rRNA from 1 species
UACGGGGGGGGCAAGCGUUGUUCGGAAUUACUGGGCGUAAAGGGCGCGUAGGCGGCUUGGUAAGUCGGGGGUGAAAGUCAGCGGCUCAACCGCUGGACUGCCUUCGAGACUGCCUGGCUUGAGCAUGGUAGAGGCUGGCGGAAUUCCCGGUGUAGCGGUGGAAUGCGUAGAGAUCGGGAAGAACAUCGGUGGCGAAGGCGGCCAGCUGGGCCAUUGCUAACGCUGAUGCGCGACAGCGUGGGGAGCAAACAGG